rnacentral:tRNA from 1 species
GGGUGAUUAGCUCAGCUGGGAGAGCACCUCCCUUACAAGGAGUCGGCGGUUCGAUCCCGUCAUCACCCACCA